AGAGUUUGAUCCUGGCUCAGAACGAACGCUGGCGGCGCGCCUAACACAUGCAAGUCGGACGCACUCAGCAAUGGGUGAGUGGCGGACGGGUGAGUAACACGUGGGAACCUGCCCUGGGGUCUGGGAUAGCUGCGGGAAACUGCAGGUAACACCGGAUGUGCCCUUAGGGGGAAAGUUUACGCCCUGGGAUGGGCCCGCGUCGGAUUAGGUAGUUGGUGGGGUAAUGGCCUACCAAGCCUUCGAUCCGUAACCGGUCUGAGAGGAUGAUCGGUCACACUGGGACUGAGACACGGCCCAGACUCCUACGGGAGGCAGCAGUGGGGAAUCUUGGACAAUGGGGGCAACCCUGAUCCAGCGACGCCGCGUGGGUGAUGAAGGCCUUCGGGUCGUAAAGCCCUUUUGCCGGGGAAGAUGAUGACGGUACCCGGAGAAGAAGCACCGGCUAACUCUGUGCCAGCAGCCGCGGUAAGACAGAGGGUGCUAGCGUUGUUCGGAAUUACUGGGCGUAAAGGGCGCGUAGGCGGCUCGUUUAGUCGGGUGUGAAAUCCCAAGGCUCAACCUUGGAACUGCAUUCGAUACUGGCGGGCUAGAGACCGGAAGAGGUGGGUGGAAUACCCAGUGUAGAGGUGAAAUUCGUAGAUAUUGGGUGGAACACCGGUGGCGAAGGCGGCUCACUGGUCCGGUUCUGACGCUGAGGCGCGAAAGCGUGGGGAGCAAACAGGAUUAGAUACCCUAGUAGUCC
rnacentral:rRNA from 1 species